UUGGGCCCAAGGCGCAAAACAAUAACCGUAACCAUAGCCUCCAAUCGGAUAGCCGUUUUACUCCCGUCUUUUCUACGCGAAAUUCACCUAUUUUAAGGACUUGGUGAGCAGAACAUGGAUUGAAGUAAAAGGGCCUUAUGAUAGAGAUAGCAAAAUGUGCCCGAGUUGCAAAGCCAGAAAAGAAAGAAAUUUGAGGUACAAGGAACGUAUCAAUGCGUGAAUAGCAAGAAUCGAAUAAAAACUUUUCAAACUGAUACACAAAUUCACUUCUUACAUAUAAAGUUUCUAUGCUUUAUAAACUGUUGCUUGAAGCACAAAAUUGGCUAACUUAGCUUAGUGAAAACCUAGUAACCAGUCUUGCACUUAAAAUUUGUCCAGGUAUUUAUUUUGAAUAUCCAAUAUUACCGUAGUUGGCCCUUGUCCAGAUAAGUUAUUAUUUUGAUAUUCUGAUUACAGUAAAACCCUGCAAAUGAAGAACCUAGUUAUCUUUUCAUGCUAACCUACUAGGGUUCGAAUUUAAAUGGUGCAUAUAGGCUUAAUGCCUUUAGCUUCUUCUCUGAAUAUACAAAGUUAUAUACUGAGACUAUACAAAGAUUUCUAUUAAAUGUAGCUAGUAUCAUUUUUUCCUAUACCAUUUUACUUCCAUUUUGUUUUAAACUGAGGCACUAGGGUUGCUUGAAUGAGGUUAGAUUAUUUUAAACAUGAAACUCAUCCAAACAGGGUCCACAUAUAUUAGUUGUGCUGGAAUACAUGGGACUGGGCUUCUAAGUCCAAGAUUUUGCACAAAUAGACAAUAGCCUUGUUUAUGUGAGUUCUAUUGUAUGUUUGUAUUUACCUGCAAGAAAAUGUGAUGCACCUGAACUUUGAAUAAAAAGAAUCUUUAUUGUUUUCA